CAAACGGGUGAGUAACACGUGGGAACACGCCUUCGAGUGGGGAAUAACGCUGAGAAAUCAGUGCUAAUACCGCAUAUGGUCUAACGACUAAAGCAGCAGUGCGCUCGGAGAGUGGCCCGCGUCCGAUUAGCUAGUUGGUGGGGUAAUGGCCUACCAAGGCGGUGAUCGGUAGCUGGUCUGAGAGGAUGGUCAGCCACACUGGGACUGCGAACGGCCCAG
rnacentral:rRNA from 1 species